UGUAAUGUGCCUGAUAAAAGGAUUAUCUUGAUGAGAUAAUUAUGACUUUAGUCCUUUACA
rnacentral:tRNA from 1 species